AUUUGAUGGAGGUUCUUGUAAUAGGCAUUGUUGGAGCCAUCAUCUGCCAGAGUAUCUCGGUGUGCAGUAGCCGAGGUCCAAACCCUGCAGCAGAUCCUUGUGCUUUGUGCUAAUUUAAUGUGAAGCUUCAGGAAGGCUCACGGCCCUUAGGAAGCUCUGGAAAACCCAAGCUGGAUUUAACAUCAGUGAGAAAACCUGGAAUCAGAGCCGUGUCCCAAAACCCGGAGCUUCUGUGUUGGAUGUCUGCGCAUCUCAGCCUUAGAGACCUGAGCAGGGCUCUGGUUACGCCCCAUGGAGGGAGACUAUGGAGGCUCAAGUCCUGCGUAUGGGAUGGAUGACACCAUAGGGGACAUGUCAUCUCACGUGAGAUAAGUGGCCCAAUAUGCACAUAGUGUGUUUCUGCUUCAUUCUGCUGAAGACGAGCAUUUACACAGGCCGUUCUGAAAGUAAUGCCUCCUAUUUAUUUCCAAAGAAACAACAACAGAUACAAAGAGCACAAUAAUGCUGUUUGAUAGAGCAAAUUCUCAGCUACAAAACAUUAUUCUUCAACAUGGGCACCACCAUCCACUCUGUAUUUUUGAAAGUAAUGAACAAGAGCCUGUGUGCUGUGCUUGUACAGGCAUGCAUCAGUGGAGGUAACCCACUGUCACCAUCUGAAAUGCAGCACCAACUGUGCUCACUGUGCUCACAUCCACCAUUCGAUCUCCAUAAACACUCAGCAAAUGUUGGUGAAUGUCAAUGGAUGCCAUUUUUUCUGCAUGGAGGAUUUAAUUCCACCCCUUUGCUUCAUACAUGCUUCCAUGACAGACACCAUUUUGCCACGCUGUCCCUCAGCUGUUGUUUGUCACACGGCAACAAAACAUAAUGGGAUACUGGUGGGAAGGUUCAGCCUCUACUGCCAUCCAAUCAACAUCUGCUUCUGAUCAUAUAGCAGGAGGCAAUACUUUCAGAGCAGCCCUUGUAUAAUGGCUCUUUUUAGGUGACAUUUUCUUUUGGGUAAUGGAUACAAAAAGAGGAAAAGGGAGAGCAAACCAAUAGAAAAAUCAUAAUGUGAUUGCUUUUAAGUGGCUUUUUUUGACCCGUUGUUUCGAAAAGGUGCCGCAAAUCAGUCAAAGUUUCCUCUUCCCAUCUGCGAAGGUGCUGUUCUAAAUUCAACCUCACACGAAAAUUCAAGCCGCCUCGUCCUCACUGGGG
ensembl:lncRNA